rnacentral:rRNA from 1 species
AUUGAACGCUGGCGGCAGGCCUAACACAUGCAAGUCGAGCGGAGCGGCGGACGGGUGCGUAAUGCCUAUGACUCUGCCUGGUAGUGGGGGAGAACGUCCGGAAACGGACGCUAAUACCGCAUACUAUCAGAUGAGCCUAGGUCGGAUUAGCUAGUUGGUGGGGUAAAGGCCUACCAAGCCGACGAUCCAUAACUGGUCUGAGAGGAGGAUCAGUCACACUGGAACUGAGACACGGGCCAGAAUCCUACGGGAGGCAGCAGUGGGGAAUAUUGGACAAUGGGCGAAAGCCUGAUCCAGCCAUGCCGCGUGUGUGAAGAAGGUCUUCGGAGUGUAAAGCACUUUAAGUGGGGAGGCGUUACCCACAGAAUAAGCACCGGCUAACUUCGUGCCAGCAGCCGCGGUAAUUC